GCAAUCGUUUGCAAUCGAUAAUGCGCACCACGAUAAGAUCCUGUAAAGUGCCUUUUAACAUUUCGAAAACCGAAGAUUCCGAAUUUCCAACGUAAUGCCGAUUAUUUAGUGGGUUUUAGCCUUCUAAAGUGCAUGUACCCGUGGUUAUAUUUAAGUUAAGACCUUGUCGAGUGCACUCUGAGUUUUUCUUUUUUGUUUUUUUUUUUUUUGUGGCUGGGGGAUGUGAAGGGAAGGGAAAGGAAAUCAAUCGGAACGCAAAUAAACAAUCGAAAUUUCGGGCGCGUGCUAUCUGCCGAGCGUCCGGGUUUUUUCGACUACGUAACAACGGGCGGGCUGCAGUGGAAAAUUUUCUAGCUGGGUCGCCCGCCUGCUGCGCACUUUCACCUCCCCCGCCCCGCCCCCCCACAAACACUACAUGGAAAAGAAACGGAAGAAACGCCAACGGAUUGGUGAUUGGCAGAGGGGGCAGUGAGGCUGUCUGCCUUGGCUUGGUUAACAAAGCUCACCUUUCUGAUCGCCUUGGAAUCGCCGGCUCUGGUGGGAAUCAACGUGUUGUCCAGGUCAAAGUAAAAGGCCCUGAUUUUCGCACAUGUCGCAUCGAAAUGUGAAUGUGUGGCUGUCAAUUGCUUGCCGCAAUGGAAUUUGCUAGCUGCCAUGAGAGUCGUCGAGCGGAGGGGGGGAUGGAGGGUCAGCGAGGGGUCACUGUCAGGAGUGGAGGGGUGGUAGCCGGUUGCUUGGUUAGAUGGAUGGAUGCAAACGUAGAGAUCCAAGAACAACUUUGGUGCAAUUCAAUCCGCCAGCGGAUUUGCGCUUUGAAAUUGGCGCCAAACGAAACGAAACGAAAUGUACGAGCUGCACGACUGCAGCAGCACUGCAGUAUUUUUCUAUUUUCCUCGAGCGGACUGGCAAAAGUUUCCGCUUCUCGCGCGGCGAAGUUAAAACGGCAACUGAAUGACAGCGACAAAAAAAAUAAUGAAACGGAACGGGAGCGGUCGCAGUAAUGUCGAGAGACGGGGUAGCGGGGCGGCGGAACAGGUGAGCGCGUGUGUAUGAGUGCUUGUUGACUGAGUGAGAGCGGAGCAGCGAAUGAAAAACCGAAAGAAAGUGCGAGGGCGCAUGGGAAAACAGUGGUGGCCAAAAGUCUGCGUAUGCGAACAGUGCUACCAGGCGGCGGCGCCAAUUGAUAAAAACUUGAUAAGAUAUUGUUAUUCCUUAAGAU
ensembl:ncRNA asRNA:CR45528 antisense RNA:CR45528